UCGUGCCGGUGAGGUGUUGGGUUAAGUCCCGCAACGAGGCGCAACCCCUACNGUUCAGUACCAUCGGAGAGCCGGGGACUCUGGAAGAACGCCGGCGCAAGCAGAGAGGAAGGCGGGGACGACGUCAAGUCAUCAUGGCCCUUACGCCCAGGGCUACACACGUGCUACAAUGGUAGGGACAAAGGGCAGCGGCUUGGCAGACAAGUAGCGAAUCCCAAAAACCCUAUCUCAGGCGCAGUCUGCAACUCGACUGCGUGAAGCUGGAAUCGCUAGUAAUCGAUAUCAGCAAUA
rnacentral:rRNA from 1 species